GCUUAGUGUGAGGUCCGUUUCAUAAAAGGGCCUGGAAGCUUUUAUGCGUGAUGUUUUCUGUGCUUUCUGUUUGUGCUUUAACAGAGAGACAUUUUCUGACAGCUUAGAAAAGAAAGAGUCCAGGUUUUUCUUGCGCAAUUAAGGCCAUUGCCAACAUAGUCACCCUCACAGUGGCAGAUGUAUGAGCCAAUCGUGUUCACGCAUUGUGCAUGGCGGCUGCAGUGGUGGUGGCCGGUUGCACACUCAUCUUCGUCUGAGGAGAGGACAGCACCAGGAAAGAUCACUGAGCAAAUCAGUUUGUGUGAGCCUCAAGACCCGAGGGCGUGCCUCAUCGCUGUGCAGUUCAUCCAGCAUCCAGAGGUCGGCUAAAGGAAGCGUGGUUCAUAUAUAUGCCGUUCGCGCACAUUAUGAUUGUGCUCAUUCAAAUCCCAUUUGAUAUAGCUGGUCUGCAUCUCUUU